rnacentral:rRNA from 1 species
UGGGGAAUAUUGCACAAUGGGCGGAAGCCUGAUGCAGCGACGCCGCGUGGGGGAUGAAGGCCUUCGGGUUGUAAACUCCUUUCGACAGGGACGAAGCGUAAGUGACGGUACCGGUAUAAGAAGCACCGGCUAACUACGUGCCAGCAGCCGCGGUAAUACGUAGGGUGCGAGCGUUGUCCGGAAUUACUGGGCGUAAAGAGCUCGUAGGUGGUUUGUCGCGUCGUCUGUGAAAUUCCGGGGCUUAACUCCGGGCGUGCAGGCGAUACGGGCUGACUUGAGUGCUGUAGGGGAGACUGGAAUUCCUGGUGUAGCGGUGAAAUGCGCAGAUAUCAGGAGGAACACCGAUGGCGAAGGCAGGUCUCUGGGCAGUAACUGACGCUGAGGAGCGAAAGCAUGGGUAGCGAACAGGAUUAGAUACCCUGGUAGUCCAUGCCGUAAACGGUGGGCGCUAGGUGUAGGGGGCUUCCACGUCUUCUGUGCCGUAGCUAACGCAUUAAGCGCCCCGCCUGGGGAGUACGGCCGCAAGGCUA